rnacentral:rRNA from 1 species
GUGAGGAAUAUUGGUCAAUGGACGGAAGUCUGAACCAGCCAUGCCGCGUGAAGGAUGAAGGCGUUCUGCGUUGUAAACUUCUUUUAUCAGAGAAGAAACCACUGAUUUCUAUUAGUGUUGACGGUAUCUGAUGAAUAAGCACCGGCUAACUCCGUGCCAGCAGCCGCGGUAAUACGGAGGGUGCAAGCGUUAUCCGGAUUUACUGGGUUUAAAGGGUGUGUAGGCGGGCUAUUAAGUCAGGGGUGAAAUCCCGGGGCUCAACCUCGGAACUGCCUUUGAUACUAUUAGUCUUGAAUUAUGUUGAGGUUGGCGGAAUAUAACAUGUAGCGGUGAAAUGCAUAGAUAUGUUAUAGAACACCGAUUGCGAAGGCAGCUGGCUAAACAUAUAUUGACGCUGAGGCACGAAAGCGUGGGUAGCGAACAGGAUUAGAAACCCUUGUAGUCC